rnacentral:rRNA from 1 species
UACAGAGGGUGCAAGCGUUAAUCGGAAUUACUGGGCGUAAAGCGAGCGUAGUCGGUUGUUUAAGUCGGAUGUGAAAUCCCCGGGCUCAACCUGGGAAUUGCAUUCGAUACUGGACAGCUAGAGUUCGGCAGAGGGAAGCGGAAUUUCCGGUGUAGCGGUGAAAUGCGUAGAUAUCGGAAGGAACAUCAGUGGCGAAAGCGGCUUCCUGGACCAGAACUGACGAUCAGGCUCGAAAGCGUGGGGAGCAAACAGG